UACGUAGGUGGUGAGCGUUGUCCGGAUUUACUGGGCGUAAAGCGAGCGCAGGUGGUUUAUUAAGUCUGGUGUAAAAGGCAGUGGCUCAACCAUUGUAUGCAUUGGAAACUGGUAGACUUGAGUGCAGGAGAGGAGAGUGGAAUUCCAUGUGUAGCGGUGAAAUGCGUAGAUAUAUGGAGGAACACCGGUGGCGAAAGCGGCUCUCUGGCCUGUAACUGACACUGAGGCUCGAAAGUGUGGGGAGCAAACAGG
rnacentral:rRNA from 1 species